rnacentral:misc_RNA from 1 species
UACGGAGGGUCCAAGCGUUGUCCGGAAUCACUGGGUGUAAAGGGUGCGCAGGCGGGCUUGUAAGUCAGAGGUGAAAUCCCCCGGCCUAACCGGGGAACUGCCUUUGAUACUGCAAGUCUUGAGUCCUGGAGGGGCUAUCGGAAUUCGUGGUGUAGCGGUGAAAUGCGUAGAUAUCACGAGGAACACCGGAGGUGUAGACGGAUAGCUGGACAGGUACUGACGCUGAGGCACGAAAGCGUGGGGAGCGAACAGG